GUGUUGAGAUCAGUCCAAUAUGCUGUUUAGGAGCUGACCUGCUAAACAUCUGCUAUAAUCAGGGUUGGCUGGAGCCGGAGAGAGAUUGGAGAUCACCAGGCGGUUGGAGGCGCAGAGAUUUCUGUGGCAGCUUGGUUAGAGGUGGCGAGAGAGGCAACAGAAAAAAGAAAACGACAUCAACUGAAACACGUAGACCCAGGCAUGCGUCCCCGCUCCAGACCUCAGGCUAAAAGGGGCCUGCCCACCAUCAGGGAGGGCUACGAAGAACUUGUCCAGGACAUGAACCAGGCCAACAGCCGCCACCUCCCACACCACGGCCAGGCCCAAUCGUUGUCUACCCACGACUACGUCCUGUCAAUAUGCCAGCUCGCCCGCCCGACCUUCCCCCAGUCCGAGCCCGACUGUGACAUCCUCGCCAUGGGUUCCCUGGCAUCUCUGAGGCCUUGUCUGAGGCUCCACAGACUGAGGAACCCUGCACCGCCCCAUCAGCCAUUGAAUUCCCAGGUUGGCCACCGCCCACAGCUGAAGCAGGAGAAUAGCCGCGGUGAGUGCAGUGGCCUGGAGAGAGAGGUGUGUGUCGGUUCAGGUCGGUCCUCCCCCAGAGGGGUGCCCAGUGUCUCUGAUCCCCUGGAGUACCUUUACGGUCACGGGGAGGCACUCUUCUCGACCACCCUUCACUCCCACAGCUCACAGGGCUGGAGAAAUGAGGGGAGAGGAAGCAACCGGCAUCGGCAACAACCCCAGAUACACACCGACAGCUUCCCAGGCAUGUGUUCCUUACCCCCGACCCAACGGAAAAUCAGUUGCCCUGAGCUCAGCCUCGUGGACCCCGCUGACCUAGAGAAGCCCACCUCUGACCCCGCUCAGCCGCAGACAGUCUCCUCAGAGCAGCAGAAACCUGACGCCUCCAGCUCACUCUCCUGGAGAUUCCAGAACAACUUGUACAGGGUUUCGGCAGGUGAAAGGGGGAAGUGCCCUUGCUACUUAGACAAACACACAGUGGUAUCAAGCUGGAUCGCCGAAUGUCGCACAGCCUGGAGAGAAGCCAGAAUCAGGGCCUGCAUGCUUCCUGCCAUUGCAGAGAUGUAAACACAUAGAUCUUCUGUAACAUUUCCAUGCCCCACUCGGAAUCAUUGUGCAUUGUGGAUCCUUGAUGUACGUACUACAUACUGUUUAAUUAACUGGCACAUUUGGCCAAUUGCAGGCCCAUAUGGUAACAUGUACAACUCCAGUUUUCAUUUGUGAACUUUUUGAAGAGUAUAUAGAUUAAGACCAUAGAGAUGAUCAGAGGACUUAGAGGAGCGACAGGUGGCCUAGACUUUAAAGUAUCUUACCAGUAACCAAAUUGUUGCUAGAUCCCUGAGCCUGAAAAAUGAAAUAUUGUAAUUCUGUCCCUGACAGAAGACAAGACAAUUGACACUAAUUGCUUCCUGAUUUUUUUUGCACUAAUUUUCAUUGAAGACAUCCACAAAUUUCAACUUUAUUGGCUGAUUCAUCCCGAUGACCCGAUUGGUCAUUGGCUGAUCCUUCCUAAUGACUAUAUUAACAUGACGAUGGCCUCAAUGGCUCUGCCCAUGCUGGAACAGAUGCUUUGGUGACACACAUGGGUCCUCUGUUUAUCUCGACCCUUAAGACAUAUUGUAGACUAGCGUAUGCUUCAUUCAUAUCACAGUAGGUGGAAUAUUGACAGUGCCUAUGAAAGAUAGUAUUUAGGUAGCCUCCGUGUCAUUAAACAUACGGUCAUUAGGCAAGACUGUUUUGUGAGAAUGGUCACAUAUGACCAGUAUUAAUAUAAAGUUUACAGGAAGAGGAAAGACUAAGAAAAAUAUCAGAUUAUAUUUCCUAGGGAAUUAGCGAUUACUUAAAUCUUUCUAUUUCACUCCAUUAUUGACUAAUAAUAAUUAUUAAAUACUUUUUUUGUGACAUAUGGGCAGCUAAAACAACAAAUAAAAUUCUACAGAGUUGAGAAAAAUGUGUCCUAUUGUUAGCUAGUUAGGGCUCAGCCCUCCAACUCAGAUUACUCUCAGUGGUUUUGAAAAUCUAUUUUGUGAUUUCCUCUCUUGUGUAUAAACUUGAUUAUGCAAUGAAAAUAUCUAUUUUAAUCUUCUUCACUUAUUAAAGCCAUGAUAAAAUAGAUACAGGUAAUGUAUAUUAAAUCAUGUCAAUGAAUUCCCACUGAGUGAGAUGUUAUGUAAAAAUGUUGUAUGUGACAUUUCAAUUGCAAGAUCAGAUGGUCCUCCAUGACAGUACAAUGAAGUAUGUGUCAAAAUAUAUCAACAUUGAGACAAUUGUAUCAUUGACUUGUAAAUGUUUGAGAACACAUUAAUUUGUAUAGCUUUUGUACCUCUGUCCAUUGCUUGCUCGUAACUGAAUAAAGUUUGUGUUUGACCCA
ensembl:lncRNA